GAGGCGAGCCCGGACCGCCGGCGGGACGACCCGCGCUGUCCGGAGGCUGUCCGCUACGUCAGCACGCAGGAGCACGGCUGCUCCUGGAGACUGAUGUCAGCGCGCCGAGUGACGCAGCGGCGGCGCCGAGGGUGGAGGCCUUGUCGGCGGCGGGGCCGGAAAUGGUGCAAUUGUUGAUGUGCAGCUGGAUGUUGCUGAAUAGUGCUUCUAUGAGCUCGCUGUUCAAUCUUUCUGUUCAGAAUGGCGAAGAACCCUAAUUUUCAGGAAGUCAGUCAUCUGCCUUCAGGCUACAUCCACUGUCAAUCUUCAGAUAGCUUUGCUGGCUAUCAAUAUCACCAUCCCUCCAAGAUGAGUAACAGCCACCCACUUCGUCCUUACACAGCUGUGGGUGAGAUUGACCACGUUCACAUUCUGUCGGAGCAUAUUGGUGCUUUAAUGAACGGGGAAGAAUACAGCGAUGUUACUUUUAUUGUGGAAAAGAAACGUUUCCCAGCACACAGAGUGAUCCUGGCUGCUAGGUGCCAUUAUUUCAGAGCAUUACUAUAUGGAGGAAUGAGAGAAUCCCAACCUGAAGCAGAAAUUCCUCUUCAGGACACUACUGCAGAAGCAUUUGGCAUGCUGUUGAAAUACAUUUACACUGGUCGUGCUACACUAAGAGAUGAGAAAGAGGAGGUUCUCCUAGACUUUCUAAGCCUAGCACAUAAAUACGGGUUUCCAGAAUUGGAGGAUUCCACGUCGGAGUAUCUUUGCACAAUACUUAACAUUCAGAAUGUCUGUAUGACGUUCGAUGUUGCCAGUCUUUAUUCCCUCCCUAAAUUAACUUGUAUGUGCUGUAUGUUCAUGGAUAGAAAUGCCCAAGAGGUGCUCUCCAGCGAAGGCUUCCUGUCACUUUCUAAGCCUGCUCUGUUAAGUAUUGUACUGAGGGACUCAUUUGCAGCUCCUGAGAAAGACAUUUUCCAAGCUUUGAUGAAUUGGUGUAAACAUAACCCCAAGGAAAACCAUGCUGAAAUAAUGCAAGCCGUACGUUUGCCACUAAUGAGUCUAACAGAACUACUAAAUGUUGUAAGACCUUCUGGACUGUUGUCACCUGAUGCCAUCCUAGAUGCCAUUAAAAUUCGUUCAGAGAGUCGGGACAUGGAUCUCAACUACAGGGGCAUGUUAAUACCAGGGGAAAAUAUUGCAACAAUGAAGUAUGGAGCACAGGUCGUAAAAGGGGAGCUGAAAUCUGCUUUGUUAGAUGGGGAUACUCAGAACUAUGACUUGGAUCACGGCUUCUCUCGACACCCGAUUGAUGAUGACUGCCGUUCUGGAAUUGAAAUUAAACUGGGCCAGCCAUCAAUAAUCAACCACAUACGAAUACUCCUGUGGGACAGAGACAGUCGGUCUUAUUCCUACUACAUUGAAGUGUCCAUGGAUGAGUUAGACUGGAUUCGGGUUAUCGAUCACUCUAAAUACCUCUGUCGGUCCUGGCAGAAUCUGUAUUUUCCUGCCUGUGUCUGCAGGUAUAUUCGAAUUGUUGGGACCCACAACACAGUGAACAAAGUUUUCCACAUUGUGGCAUUUGAAUGCAUGUUCACGAACAAAACCUUUACUCUUGAGAAAGGUCUAAUAGUUCCCACGGAAAAUGUCGCGACGAUUGCAGACUGUGCCAGUGUGAUUGAGGGUGUAAGUCGCAGUCGCAAUGCCCUGUUGAAUGGAGACACGAAAAACUACGACUGGGAUUCUGGGUACACGUGCCACCAGCUUGGGAGUGGAGCUAUUGUAGUGCAGCUGGCACAGCCCUACAUGAUUGGAUCAAUACGGCUGCUGCUUUGGGACUGUGAUGACCGGAGCUACAGCUACUACAUUGAGGUUUCAACGAAUCAGCAGCAGUGGACUAUGGUGGCUGAUCGCACAAAAAUUUCCUGCAAAUCCUGGCAAACAAUCACCUUUGAUAAACAGCCUGCAUCUUUUAUCAGAAUAGUUGGAACUCACAACACAGCUAAUGAGGCACUUCAAGAACAAGUAGAAGUAAGAGUGUUUCACUGUGUGCAUUUUGAGUGCCCAGCACAAAAUAGUACCCACAAGGAUGAAAAUAGUAAGGAAGUGGCGACAGCAGAGUUGGGAACUGGUGGACAGCAGCUUGUUUCUCGGCCUGUUCGAGCUGCAAGCACUAGUUCCCUGCAUUCCUCUCCUGGAUCCACCUCACGCUCACAUACUCACCAACCAUAAAGGAGACUGAGAGCUGAUAACUAUAUGAGAUUAUUCAGAACCUUCUUGUGCUGGCACCUUUUCGUUCGUUGUGAACAAAGGGGACCAUGGCUGGAAUCUGGAAAUGCUGAAAUGGAAAAGGCUUUUCCCAUGGAAAAGACUGCUUCACUUUCAUCAAUUUGUUCAAAUCAGGCUGGUCUCCAAGGGGUGAAAAAAUAGGCGUUCAGUCUUCAUCAAGUACCCCAUUAACGCCCUACCUCUCUAAUCUAACCGAGGCAACAAGAACAGAAGGAAAUAAAAGGCAGAGCUGCAGUGGAAAUCUAAAAUGACUCCAGCAGAAUGGAAGCCAUAGGAAAUAAGUAUUUGUUCCCUGAAGGCUUCCGUUAGCAAGGAAAAUGCUUAUGGAGCACACUGGUCCAGAAUAUAUGUUGUUCUUUGAAGUUAUUCUUCACUGGUAUUCCUUUGUAACUACUCAUCUCUUUUCUGACUUGUUUCAACUCUGGACUCCACUUUAUCUUUUGGUUUUGCUUGUGGCAAGUGCUGUGCAGUAGUUUAGGAAACAUCAAACCUAUUUACCUGCUGAGAUGCAAAUUCCCUCAUUCAUCAGUGGGAUGACAAGAAAAGCCUUCAUGAUGUCAACUAAACAGUUAAUGGAUGCUAUAUUAAUCUUGACCUUAUUUGUCUUUUCAAGGUACAAAAUUGUCAUUUGUUAUACUCAAAAAGGAAAUUCCUAAAUCAAGCAUCCAUCUGGAAGCAAAAUAUAUUUCUCACUCCUGAAGAUGGUUACUUAAAAUUCACCUGUAUUUCUAAGAAAGCUUGCAAGAGAUCAUCAGAAAUGUUUGGUUUAGAAAAGUGGAACAGCAGCCAGUUGCUGACAAAUAGUGAAAGAAUUUGCAGAUUGUUCUUUUUUCCCAAGGAAAAAAAAAAGAAGUUUUCCAGUCUGGAGGCAGAAUCUCCAGGGCUAUGUGUGCAUACACUUUUUUCAUAGUCUUCAUAACAUAUGGUGCAUUUACAGCGUGCUGUAAAAGAUUUGGCUUUUACUUCACAGUCAUGGAACUCACUACCCAUCUCUCUCUGUCUGUGUCACAUUGCCUGCUGCUUUGCUUAUUCUGAGUGUUUCCACACUCAUCAUGUUGCAGUUUCUUACUUGCCCUAUGGACGUGACUUUUAGGAAGAGCUCCAUGUUGGUCUCUCAGGAUGUGAUAAAGCAAUUUUGUAUUAAGACAAAUGCUGAUGUAAUUGGCAAAAUGGAUUAGGAUGGUGCUUGCUCCUCACAAGACAGGUAAUACUGGAAAUGUCAGCUAUUCAGUUUUAUGAACUUGGAAUUUCCCAUGGUGACAGAUAGCUGUGUCAGAAGAAAACAAAGCUAGUGCAGGAUAAAUGCGUUUUUCCUUUGCAUAAUUGCAGUGAUAAAAUGAGUUAUAUCAAUGUAGCAAAUAGUAUGUUAAUUUAUCAUCUUAUUAAUUUGAAAGAGUUUCCCUUUUGGAUACUGGUCGUGAUAAAAACAGGAAGAAAUAUAAUGAGAGGUAGCAAUGGAUCAGUAGAAAUUUCAAAGCAUAAAAGCUUCCUUUCUCUUGUUUCAAAUAAAAUUUAUUAGGCUUUAUCAAUAAUAUUAUAGUAUUUUUCAUUGCCAAAUUUCAGUUGAGUUCUGACAUACCCAUACAGCCCCCUCCCUUUCCACUGCUGUCUUCUGACUUGUGACUAUCUCUUGGUGAAGAUGCAUGCCCAUCGCAUUCUGUACAGCUUGUAAUAUGUACCUCGUUCUGGGGUUCUGAGACAGGAUACUGCUCAUGCUUGGACAACACCUAGCCUGGGAUGCUGAUUACCUUAUGGCUUAACAGCCUUCGUGGGCAUGAAUCAAGACCAGCUACCAGGGCCACAGCUCUUGUCUAAGCAUAGAUACAAAAGGUGAAUAUUGUUUCUCUUUUCUUUCCUUUAAAAAGUAAACCCAGAAGACUUUCCUAUUGUGGUUGUAAUCCAUGGAUUAAGUACUGAGAUGCAUAGAGCACAUCUUCCUUUGGUAGAUGUGCCCUUCUGUGGUGGUGGUAUUUGCAGUUUGAUCAAACAGGUUUGCUUUUCUCAAACUGUGGCUAAACCAAGGGCGUAACUCCCUAGCUUUUAGUCAUUAGUAGGCACCAUUGCAGAGGAGGUUCUAAAAAAUGAGUCUGGGCUUCCAGAGAAAGAACAAGGUGUUCAUUUUGUAAUCUUUGGUGUGCACAGUUAAUUUUUGUACAGGGAAAUCUCAUAGACUAGAACCUACUGCAAAUCUUUGUGAUCUUGCUCUGUGGCUCACUCUCGAACAGAAAUGUCUCCUUAUUUCCCAUGACAUUCUCUGCCAAGAAUCUGAAAGAAGGUAUGUGAGAGAUUCCCAAAGCAAAAACUAUCCGUUUCUAUAGAGCCCCCAGUUCCCCACAUCUGAAAAUCAGUCAGAACAAGAAGCGACUUUGCAUGGUCACUACAGGCUAAUGAAAAGUUUUAGUAUUAGGCUGACUCUUAGUCACACAUGACCUUUCUUGCAGUCUUUGUUUUCUUCCAUUCUAGUUACUCACAGAACCUGGAACUAAGAUGAUUCCACUGUGAUCAUGGAGGUCCCAACCUUUUGAGAGAAGCCGUGCUACAACUCCACAUUUUCUACUGGAAACCUUUACUUUUAUACAAAGAAAUACUGGUGAAAUGUUUAAGGGACCUGAAUGCUGGUCUUAUAGUGCUACCCACCAAAACCACACAUGAUGCCAUGUGUGGCAAAUAUGGCCUCAGCAACAUACUACUAGUGACAAAGGAAAGUGCUACAGAGUGAUUUGCAUUUUGGUGUGAAUUCAGUCUUGGGCUUAACUCAGGGAGCUCAACAAAGCUCUUUCUAAAGUCUGCUUAAUUAAUGUAAUCCAAUGUUCUUCAUUGCAUCUUUUCUCCCUUCUAGCUCCAUUUCUUUGUAUUUUCCCCAUGAAAAUGAGUUUUUCUUGUUUACUAUGACAGCUCAUGAUAGCGCACAGUGUUUCUCAGUAUUGCUGAAAAAUUCAAACUUGUUUAAUUUGUCUUUACUAAUGGUAGCAUUAAAGUAGAGAGGUUUCAGUUUUGUAUCUGGCUUGAUGAGAGUUGGUUCCUGUGAAAAGGGUAUCUGUAAGGAUGUAGAUAGGAAGGAGAAAAGAAAUCUAAAUAAACUCUUUUCCAGCCAAAUGCAUGCCAGCUUCCACUCAGCAAUGUUUUGUACAUCUAGAGUCAGCGUGCAAAUUAGAAGACAAGGUUAAUGCCAUUCUUGUCUGAUUGCUGUGCAUUAGUAGUUCUGGUAAUACAGUGAUGCCUGCUCGGAGACAAUGAGCAGUAAGAACUUAGGUGUGAUUUCACAGAAAGUAGACAUGCUAUGCGUUGCAUUUCUCUAUGGAAGUAUUAACUGGCUUGUGUUUUGACAGGUGUAAACAUACUGUCAGGUGGACAAGUGGAUGAGUUGGUAAUUUUGUUGUUGUGGCUAGAGUAGUCAACAAAAAAUCAAAGCUAGUAAGAGUUAAUGUAUUUAAGAGUGACUAUUUAGCUUUGUAUGUCAUGAUAUUGGUUGCCAGAGAACUAAACCUUCAAAAGUAUAAUUUGUAGAUCACAUAAUAUGCUUGAGACUUUGAUCCAGUCCUCGUCUCAUAGUUAAUGGUGUCUUUAGGUUAGAAUCCUUAGUUCAUAAAAUCAUAGAGUUUGUUUGGAAGAGACCUUUAAGAUCAUCAAGUCCAACCAUUAACCCAGCACUGACAAGUCACCUCUAAAUGAUGUUCCUCAACACCACAUCUGCACAGCUUUUAAAUGCCUCCAGGGAUGGUGAUUGCACCACCUCCGUGAGCAGAUUGCUCCAGUGCUUUACAAUCCUUUCUGGUGAAGAAACUUUCCCUGAUGUCCAAUCUAAUCCUCAUUGGCACAACUUAAGGUUGUUUCCUCUUGUCCUGUUGCUUAUUCCUAGGGAGAACAGACUGAUCCUCACCUCUCUACAAUCUCCUAUCAGGUAGUUGUCCUUUAGACCCCUCACCAGCUUUGUCACCCUGAACUGAUUUUUGUUGUUCUAAGUUGUGCUAGUUAACUCAGAUAUAUAGAGAAGCUUCACAAAGCUUUGUUCAGGAUACAUAAAAAACAAAGUCCUGAGUUGAUUAUUUUGAGUACCUAAAUACAAAUAGAAAGUUGAACUAAUAGCUAAUAAUUUUACUUCAAUUUAGAGGAAGUGCUAAAGCCUGGCAACUGAAAAAAAAAUCUUUGCAGAGAGGUGUGGAAUGCUGUUGCUGUGGUGUGGCAGGAUGCUAAUUGUUCUUAACUCUGGUUGCUUUGAAAGUACGAAUGUCUAAUCAAAAUGAGCAGUUCCUGAGCUGGGUUUUGCCCCAUCAUUAAGUAUUUCCAAUUUAGUUGUAGUGAAAUCUAUGAAAGUUCAUAGCUCAUUUCGAAGACAGCGGUGGAGUCCAAAGAACACGUCUUGGCUGCCUUGUGUACUAUGGCUUGCAGCAUUUAAAGAGUGAGACUUCAGAUGACUUGUUAACAGUGCAUAAAAGCCUGCAGACCCUUCUUUGGCCUUUCACAAGCUUUCAUUGCAAAGCUUUGGCUGAGGUAGUGUCAAAAUCCCACCCAUAUUCCAUGACAGAACCUGAAGCCCCUAUUAAAAGCUAGAGUGUAAUACAAGGAAAGGGCAGGUAUCUGUCCCUUACCAACAGACCAGCUACCAGUGACUCUGUCUGCAUACCUGUUCUGUGAUGCUUUUGGUGUUUAAUUACUACAGUAGCUACAGGGGGUGGAAAAAAUGGGGAAUUGGCUCCACACACUCUUGCCAUUAUACCUUACCUGGUGACUCCUGAAAUGGGAAGUGAUUGUGCCCCUGUAGUCAGCACUGGUCGGGCUGCACCUCGAAAUACUGUGUUCAAUUUUGAAGCCCUCACUGCAAGAAGGAUGUUGAGUUGCUGGCGUGUAUUCAGAGAAGGGGAGCAAAGAAAACAGAUCGUAUGAGAAGUGGCUGAGGGAGCUAGGAUCGUUUAGUCUGGAGCAGAGGAGGCUGAGGGGAGACCACAUUGCUCUCUAUAACUACAUGAAAGGAGGUUGUAGUGAGGUGAGGAUUGGCCUCUUCUCUCUAGUAUCCCCUGGUAGGAUGAGAGGAAAAGGCAUGAGAUUGUGCCAGGGGAGGUGUAGAUUGGAUGUUAGGAAACGUUUUUUUGAGAGUGGUCAGGCGUUGGACUCAGUUUCCUAGGGAUGUGAUGAAGUCCAUCCCUGGAGGUGUUCAAGAAACAUGUGAACAUGGCACUUCAGGAUGUGGUUUAAUGUCCAUAGUGGUGUUAGGUCAGUGUUUGGAUUCAGUGACCUUAGAGGUCUUUUCCAACCAAAGCAACUUUAUGAUUCUAUCAAGUCCCCUGGGUGGUAUCACUGCUCAGGGUUUGUGUGUCUGAAACUCUGCCCUGUGAUUCCAGUAUGUAAUAGCUGCUGUGGCUUCUCUCUGUAGAGGAAGCAGGGAACUAACCAAAAGUCACUCAUUUCCUUCAUGUCCUUUUUGGCCUACAUCACCUAUCAGUUGUGUCUACUUGUGAGCUACAGUCACCAGUGAGUGGUGGUUUAUACCUAGAAUCCAAUAAAAGUGUUUAGCAGAAGAUGUGAAGAAGUUUUUGUUUUUACCUAAGAAUUUUAGGUUGUGUAUUGGAAGCAUAGUCAGGACACAGAAUGGUUGUUUUUGGUGUCUUCUGUGGCUAUUUGUUGGGUAUUUUAGUUAUUUUCAGCUGCUAAAAAUAGUGGAAUUCUAUGGAGGAAUUUUUCAUAGAGCUUUGUCAGGCCAAGAAACUGCUUUUGAAACAAUCACAGCAGGUUGAUAGCUGGAGAACAGGGGCAGGUUUCUUCUGCUUUCUGCAGGCCAGGAUCCUAUUUGGGUCCUUCUGUAAGUUUGUUUCUGCCACCUUUAAUAACAGGAGCGUUGGUGUUGGAGGAUUUCAGGAACUGCAUCAUUUACUCAUUCUGAGAGAUGAAUACUUUGGGCGAAUGUUUCUGUGUGAAGUUCAUGAGACUCAGCUGAUUAGAUUAAAACCAAAGAGCUGAAGUUGCAAGUAGCAGUGUAGAGAGAAGGUCGGCAUCUAGUUACACGUGUGCAGCUGUGCAUGCAGGGAUCAGAAAAUGCACGUGUGACUGGAGCUGAAGUGACUGUUUGGAAUGCCUUCUGGCAUUUUAGUGCAGGGAAUUUUGCUAAGGAAUCAUCUGAAUGUGAACACUGAAGGAAAGAGGAAGAGAAUGUAAGGAGCAAGGCUCUAGUGGUUUGUAUGGGAAGGGCAACGUGAUUUCUCUUACAAGUCUUCCUACAUGCUUCCCACACUCCGUCACAUCUUCUCCUCACUAUCUAGCAUCCUGCCACCGUUGCUGUGGCUUUUCCUGGAACCUUCCUCCAAACUGUGACACUUCUUUUUAAUUUGUCAUAUGCUGAAUGAAAUCUCUUCAUCCCCGUUCACUGAAGUCAGAAUUAAUGGCAACUGCCACUAGACCAUCAAGUGCUAGUGAGGAACAAUGGAAUUUGUCUGUCUGUCCUGAUGGGAAAUGCUUGUGCUUCCCUAAUAUUUUCAUUUUGUUAAGUGAAAAAUGGGCAAGAGGGUUUCCAUUGACUUAAGCAGCAGAUCAGGCUGUGUGCAGGCUUUUCUAAGUUCAGUUUAAAUAGAAACCUAACUAUUUCUAACUGGGAUGUACCAGAUAACUCUCCCUGUUUGAAAGUCGUGUGUUGCUCAGUGUUUUAGUUGUACGUAACUGUUGCUUUCUAAAUAAACUGCAUCAUCAAAAGUGAACCUGGAUCAAGUGUGUAACUCUUGAGCAUUUCUGUGUGAAGCCAUUGCAGCUGCUUGGAGAUUUAAACAUGGCACCCAACACUCGUUUUGAGAAGUAUAACAUUAUUUCUCAAUUUGGUGCCCAUGGCUAUUAACCUUGUCCAGUAUCUUGGAGACUUUUCUUUCCUUUCUGCUUUGCUCAAUUUCAUUAUUAUCAUUGGUUUUCUUUCUGAAGUGGAUGGUAAUGUUGUUCCUUCAAAGAGCAUAAAUUAAAUAUAAGGAGCCAGGCUAAAGAGAAGUUAAGCUUUAAAUGGACUUCCUCCAUUUCUGUCAAUGCUUCUCUUUCUUGACACACAGUGGCUUAAAGCCAACCCGUGUGGGUACACUUCCCAUCUCUGUCACUUAUCAUUGUAUUUUGCAAGUUUUGUGCUUUAAAUCUCUUUCCUCCUUUCUCAUACUUCCUAAACAAAGAGUGGUUCUAAACUACCUCAGAACUUAUUGUGAACAGGUAUGACUUUUCAGCUUAAGUUUCCAGGCUUUGUCAUGGGCUUUGAGUGUUCUUUAAGUGCAUGGAUAUGUAGUGAAAUCAGCCUGCCAGACCCCAGUGGCUUUUUCAGUAACAGUGCUUCAAGUGAGAUGGGUAACUGGGAGCCAUUCAGGCUCAUACUGAUACCUCUUUCCAGCAUAACUCUUCUGGAGUGCAACUUCUGAUAUGGGAAGUGCUUCGCAUUUCUGAUCUCAGCUCUUUGAAGGAAUAUGGUACUGCCUGCACUGGACUAGUGUCACCCCUCUUUUACUGUGACAACCACCAUCAUAAAAAUGGUGUUGUCAGACCUCUAUUCCUGGCUGUUAGCAGGAGGCAUGCUACUGCAUUAGAGAAUAAACCCACAUGGCAUUUUCCGGUGACCCUGGUACCAUUUUAUACACAUUGCCAGCCCUUAGUGCUAACUCGUUUCAGGUAGAAUGAUAGUUGCAGAUUGUGCUGCAGUGAUCCAAUCAAUGACUUUGGGAAUUGUCUGGUUUUGUAAGUUAUCCAUUGAACAACUCAGCAAACCUUGUUAGUGCUAAUAUCCUUUUCGCCAGCAGACAUGCACAUCAUCAAAUGAGCAUUUUGUAACAAGGAAUUUUCUGUGAGCAGCAGCAGCGUGUUUAUAUCCUUAGUAACAAAGUGUGUAUUUGUAAUGAAAGCUAUAGUAUUAUUAAAUUGCUGUAAGCUAUUCUGUGCAUGCUCUAGCAUUGUAUUAACAGUUUGUAUUAGCAGCUGAUAAGUAGGGUGUUCAGGAGAGCAAAGAAGGCUGGCUUUGGAUUUCUUUGAGAGUUUCAAAGAGCUGCAAAACUCACCAGAGUGGAUGCAGGACCAGACAAUGCUCAAAGCCAAUAAUAAAGCUAAACUGUUGUGCUUUCUAUUUAUGUCUUUGGGGACUUUUCUUUAAAAUAUUUAACUUCACAGGAAAAUAUAGACUAUAUUUAAAGUAGUGAGAAUUAGAAAUGCACCUUUUCAAGAGUGAGAGGGAUAUGAUUUGAGAAAUAAAGUUAUCUUUUGUGUUUAA